UACGUAGGUAGCAAGCGUUGUCCGGAAUUAUUGGGCGUAAAGCGCGCGCAGGUGGCCUCUUAAGUCUGAUGUGAAAGCCCACGGCUCAACCGUGGAGGGUCAUUGGAAACUGGAAGACUUGAAUGCAGAAGAGGAAAGUGGAAUUCCAUGUGUAGCGGUGAAAUGCGUAGAGAUGUGGAGGGACACCAGUGGCGAAGGCGACUUUCUGGUCUGUAACUGACGCUGAGGCGCGAAAGCGUGGGGAGCAAACAGG
rnacentral:misc_RNA from 1 species